CAGUAGCCGCGGUAAAACGGAGGAUCCGAGCGUUAUCCGGAAUUAUUGGGUUUAAAGGGUGCGUAGGCGGCAUGCUAAGUCAGGGGUGAAAGACGGUGGCUCAACCAUCGCAGUGCCUUUGAUACUGGUGUGCUUGAAUGUACAUGAGGUAGGCGGAAUGAGACAAGUAGCGGUGAAAUGCAUAGAUAUGUCUCAGAACACCAAUUGCGAGGGCAGCUUACUAAGGUAUGAUUGACGCUGAUGCACGAAAGCGUGGGGAUCAAACAGGAUUAGAUACCCCCGUAGUCCCUGUCUCUUAUAC
rnacentral:rRNA from 1 species